rnacentral:rRNA from 1 species
AACGAACGCUGGCGGCGUGCCUAACACAUGCAAGUCGAGCGGGAAAGUUCCCUUCGGGGAGCGAGUACAGCGGCGCACGGGUGAGUAACACGUAGGUAACCUACCCUGGAGUCUGGGAUAACCUGCCGAAAGGCGGGCUAAUACCAGAUAAGACCACGAGGGCUGCGGCCCUUGGGGAAAAAGAUGGCCUCUGCUUGCAAGCUAUCACUCUGGGAUGGGGCCUGCGCGCCAUUAGCAGUUGGUGAGGUAACGGCUCACCAAGGCAGAGAUGGCUAGCUGGUCUGAGAGGAUGGCCAGCCACACUGGGACUGAGACACGGCCCAGACUCCUACGGGAGGCAGCAGUGGGGGAAUAUUGCGCAAUGGGCGAAAGCCUGACGCAGCGACGCCGCGUGGGUGAUGAA